UACAGAGGGUGCAAGCGUUAAUCGGAAUUACUGGGCGUAAAGCGCGCGUAGGUGGUUUGUUAAGUCGGAUGUGAAAUCCCAGGGCUCAACCUUGGAAUGGCACCCGAUACUGGCUAGCUAGAGUAUGGUAGAGGGGUGUGGAAUUUCCUGUGUAGCGGUGAAAUGCGUAGAUAUAGGAAGGAACAUCAGUGGCGAAGGCGGCACCCUGGACUAAUACUGACACUGAGGUGCGAAAGCGUGGGGAGCAAACAGG
rnacentral:misc_RNA from 1 species